GACCUGGUUUGCCCUGCAAGUCUCCGGUUCAGACCGCGGCCCGCGCAGCGGCAUUUUUGCACCUGGCAGAAGGUCCAAGAGCAACAGCUCCUGUUUCAGGGCCGAGGCCUUACUGUCCGUUCAGUUGUCUCAAAAAUCCUCCCCGGCUGGUUUAAUUCCCACCCGGGUUUCACAAACAAGGAAGCGGAGCUUAACAGCGCGCAGGAGGUGACGCCAGGUCAGAGAAGCAGAAACCGGGACGGCCCCCGCGUCCCCGCCUCUGUCCUCUGCGCCACCGCCUCGGCCGGGACCCGCCCCGGCCCGCCGGCCCAGCCCCGCUUUCCUGGACCCCGCAGGCUGCUCCGUAUCCAGCAGAGUCUAUUCCAAUGUCUGUUGAACAAGAGUAAGAAGAUAAGAUUCAAAGCAAUUCCCCAGUAUUCUUCAGAUUCUAUCAGCUGUGAGACACGACCAGGUGUUCGAAGAUGGUUGGCUGCCUUUCAUUCCUCUGAACUCCAUCCUUCCUUGGCAUGAUGGAGAAGGAAGAGGAACUCAAGACCCACCUGGUGCAGCAUCUUACAUCUAAUGAGGUACCCAACUGAGCGAACAAUUUGAACUUAACACAUCCCACGUUGCAAGAGUGGGCCAAGACACGUGGCACCUGGGACUACAGCUUUGCCUCCCCCAGGAGCUAGAAAUCUGGUGCUCAGGAGAACGUCAGGCGUGGGCCAGGCCCCUGGGAAGAAGCACACCCUCCUAUAUAAUGAAAAGGCCACAGUCCCGACUUCACUCUCAUCCCCAUGUCUAAAGAGUAGGUGCAACAGAGGAGGAAAACCUACCUACGGAAGCAUCAGCCCUUUCUACGUGAUAAUAGUGUCUUGCAGGGUGCCUUGGGGGAGCCCCACUGUACAGAAUAUUCCUUUUGUACAUGGUGCCUGUGGGUCACGUUCCUUAGGGAAUAUCAGGUGAGAGAAAGCCUGGUGGCUGGCGGGUCUUGGGACCACUAUGACCUGGGAAAGCCUUUGGGGGCCAAACCUCUUGUUCUCUCUUCAAUGGGAAGUUCCCUUCCCGAACUAGAAGAGUAUCAUCGUCUCCCCAGAACACCAUUUAACUUCCUCUUCUUCAGAGAUGAAGUCUUUAUUAUCAGAUGUCAAGAUGUUUUGUACUCAGGCAUCAACGUCACAUCUCAGAGAGACAGUAUUUUAUAACCUGAAGACAGAGAAGAGCAUGGAAUAGCUGCACAUACAGACAGUUGAUUUCAUUCAUGAAUUCCUUUUUGCCUUCAAUGAGUGCCUGGAGAAAUCCUUCUAAGUCCGCUGUUGUCACUGGGACCACCUUGUUCAAGCCAACAUGCUCUCUGGGUUGGACCAGUGCAAUAGUUUCAUAGUUCUAUUUGCUUCUGUUCUUUUUUUUUUUUUUUAAUAUUUUUACAAGUUUAUUAAUUAAUUUAUUUUUGAGUAAUCUCUACACCCAACGUGGGGCUCGAACUCAUGACCCC